UAAUUGGCGAAAACAACUACGCUCUCGCUGCCUAACCGAAGCACAGUAAGUUCGGCUUAAUUCCCGCGCAAGGCGCGGGACCGAGACAUCUCCCAGCCGCCCCGACCGUCGGCUGCUGACCAGGAGGUGCAGGGAAAGACGGGAUAGCCGGUGCGACACCUCUACACGCCGGUGAAGUUUUCAGAGGCUAAGGGUGGCCUUGGGUGCCGAUGUCCGGAGCCACCCCGACAACCAACCACCGGAUAAGCAUGUAGAAAGCAUAUCUGUUAACUGUUUGGACGGCGGUUCGACUCCGCCCAGCUCCACAA
rnacentral:tmRNA from 1 species